rnacentral:rRNA from 1 species
GAUUUCUGGCUUGAAACAUUUUGCCAGCCACGGUUUCGUGUGUUAGUGCUUGAUGUUCUGGCCAUCCUUCCAAUCGCUAUUGGCUUUUCUUCAUUGAGAGGUCAGUGGUAUUGGAUCUUUUACUUUGAAAAAAUUAGAGUGUUUCAAGCAGGCUUUAUGCUAUGAAUACAUUAGCAUGGAAUAAUAAUUUAGGACUUCGGUUCUAUUUUGUUGGUUUCUAGGACUGAAGUAAUGAUUGAUAGGGACAGUUGGGGGUGCUAGUAUUCAGCGGCCAGAGGUGAAAUUCUUGGAUUCGUUGAAGACUAACUUAUGCGAAAGCAUU